AAGGCCUUCACUGAAUCAGCGUGGUACCUUUUUUGACUGAGAGUAUCAACAACAAUUGUGAGUUUAUAGUCCCAGACAUGGAUGCUUCUUACUGUGAUUCUUUGAAUCUAUCUAUCUACACUUGUACAUACAGCAUUGCGGAGGAUGAGGUGGAGUUGAGGAGUCUCACAGCCUGUGGAAAGAAGCUGCUCUGGUAGUCUGGUGUGACUGGAAGCGAAUACUUCUGUAUUGCUUGCCAGAAGGCAGCAGGGUGAACAGGCUGUGGCUGGGUGGGUAUAGUCUUUUAGUAUUCUUUGGGCUCUGCGCAGGCACUUCACCUCUCCGAUAUCACUGAUGCCAGGUACAUUGGUACCAGUGAUGUUCUGGGCGGUUUUAAUCACUGACUGCAGAGCCUUCUUGUCCUUGGCUAUGCACAUCUCAUGCCAGUUUGUAAUAUUUUCAGUCAGGAUGCUUUCCAUUACUCCUCUGUAAAAGUUAACAAGGACUUGGAACGGGAAUUUUGCCUUUUUAAGUGUACUUAACAAAUAUAGCCGUACAACCUAAAACUGUUCACGUGCUCCAUCUCAGCUCCACUGAUCCCCCUCCUUUUUCCUAAAACCAACAAUCAGCUCGUUUCAUCGGGACAAGGUGGACAGAGGAAGCGGGAGCCGGCUUUAUGGGUGUGAGCAGAAUCUGUUUUUUUUUUGUUUUUUUUAGCAUGAGAGGGUGGAGAGAGAGAGACCGAAAGAUGGAUAAAGGAAAAGAGAUUUAAAGCAUUCCCACAGUCUAAACUCCCACAGGGCCUGCAGAGUCGUUGCUCUCCUGCUAUGUUUCAAAUGAUUCAGCUGUCAAGUUGGCUGGCUCAGGAUUUAAUUUCAUCACACAGAGGACAGGCCUCUCUUCUGUUUAACUUUCACUAUUGCAAGCUGCAGUUCGAUCAAUCCCAAACUGAUCAAGAGCAGUGACAUCAGUGUGUGUCAGACUGGUAAAACAGUAGUUAAAUUAGUGAGACAACAUGUGAUACCAUUGAUCUGAUAUUUUCUUUCAAAUAGCUCAGCCAUUAGAACAAACUCUUAAAGGCCUGUCAAUCACUCAUCCUUAAAGUCCAACUGAAAUUAAAUUUUUAUUUCAGCUUGUGGCGAUCGCCCAAAUUAUGUUGUUUGUAAAUAAUAAGAAAAUUACCCUGACCCGUCUUUUUCCCCACUCACUUCCACACAUUUACCAGUCCUUUUAACCAGUGAUAUGGCUCUGAAGUGGAGUAUUUUUGUUAUAUGAACUGAACUGAACUGAAUUGACAACCGAGAAAUCCUGAAGUGGAUUUUUUUUGUUUUUACUUUUUUUAAAACCCAAACUGAAAUGGGACUGAACUAUAACUCUGUCUUUCUUUAUCUUGGCUUGAAUAUAACAUUGGAAAAUUGAACUGAACGUAUGGUUGAGUUUAUUUGAAUUGAGUGUUUUUAUUCCACUGUCUCACAAAUUUAUUAUACAUUUGUUUGUGUUGUGAAAUAUUGACCAGGGGUAAUGUGUAUGAAUGCAUGUAUCCUUUUUUUUUUUUUUUUUUUUUACUGGUUUUAACUGGGUCAAACUGCUUCAAAAAUAAAUGGCGCCCAACAACAAAAGAAGAAUUACUAAAAAACAAAAGAUUCCUUCCUUCAAGAAAAAGCAACACAAGAGACUCAGACUCUGUUUUGGUGAAUGUGUCUUUAUUGCAAGUUGAAUGAAAAUAAUAAAUGGAAUUGUGUGUGGACAAACAAUGGCUUCAGCAAUGGAGGAUAUUUUGGAGUCCCUCAGAUGAACACGAAACAGGACCUAAUUCAGACAGUUCUGUGUUAGGUGCUGGAAGAAUAAGGGAAUCUGUACAAAUCUCUGAUUCACCAAGAACAAGUUAAUCAUUAUUGGACAUGGAUUUCUGUGGAGACCCAGACCUGAUGCUGCCUCUGCUUACUUUGCCACAAGGUGGUGCUGCUUCUUCAAAUGCCAGGACUUCAGAGCUCACGCAAUCAACACAGGAAUCUUUGCAUGUGAAAAUACAGGGAGAAAUCCAGUCACUUGCAAUGGAUCAAAGCAACCACAAGGAGGAGCUCAAGCUCACUUUAACUGUAUUUUCAAAAGACAUCACCACAUACUAUGAUAAGCAAGUGUAACAGUUAAAGACAACAAUGGAUAAACAAUUCCGCUUCAUGCACGAUCAAUUUACAGUUAACUUAAACUGGCACUGGAAGCACCACCAUGCAGAGCUAUUGAAAGAGAUCCUAAGUCCCAUGACCCAGAGUGUCAAUCACCUACAAACAGAAGUCUAGAAAUGCUCCCAACGUCUUGAAGGCAUGGUUAGUGAUAUGUCCACUAUGAUAAAAAAAAUCAAAGUCUCUGUAUGUCUGCCUAAGUUCAAACCGGUCCUAUUAGUGAUCAACCAACACUCCAACAGCGGACACACUUGCAGUCCAGAGAGUCCAGUGUCUCCACAGGAACGUGCUGUAUAGUACAGCCAGGGAUUGGUGGGCCGUGACUCUUAAGUACACAUUCCUGGACAGACAUCCAGUCCAAUUUCCUCUCUGCUUUCCUGUCGUAAGAUAAUGAAGAUGAGGUAACGAUGCGAGUAUCAGGGACUUUGCUUAUAUGUACCGGUCUUUGUGCUGCCUCUGGAAACCAGACAUUACAGAAGAAGCUGUCAUAAAACUCAUCCUCAGGAACAUCAAUCCUUGUAUGGCCAGCAAACUGCGAAGUGGGGUGAACAUGGUGGAGGAGCUGGUCAGGUUGUGACUACAGCUGAGAGGGACUUUGUGACCAGCAGAAAAAACACCUAGGCAAACAAAAAGACAAAGGAGAAUCAACUCAAACACUCUCUCAACCAUCACACCCCUUGACCUCAGCACAACCCAGCACUACUUCUCAAGUAUUUUGCUGGAGGUGUAAAGGUAGCCAUCCCCCAUAUGCAUGUCCACAUUUUUAACCAGCAGAAAAAACACAAACUUCCCACCACAGUACAAGGCCAGCCACAACAGAGAGCAGAAACAAGUCAACCCUCUGCAAGUGCUCUUGGUCCAACAGAGAAUCAGCCAAUGGCAUCACUUCCCUUCCAAUCGUUCACGCCUGCUUAUGGACACAGUGCCAUCUCUACCUUCAGCAGUCCGCUAUUGCUGCAGUUGAAGGUGUCUCUCAUUAUCAGUACUUGAAAAAGAAAGGCCAUCUUGGACACUGGUUCUUCAUACACAUUAGGUAAUGAGCAACUAUGGAACAGCAUCAAACAAUCAGAAGCCACUCUUAAUCCAUUCCAGAGGCAUCCCCUUAUACCUGGCAAAUGGGAAACCGGACUGGACUUGGAUGGACUGAGGUGGAAAUAUGCCUGUAUGGAAAGACGUGGUCAGUACCCAUGGUUGUGCUAUCUCCGCAACCACUAGCAUUCUCUGUAGUGCUGGGAUUGGAUUAGACAGGCAGGUCUUACUAUAAAUUUGAAGAAAAGUAAAUUCAUUUGUACAUCCCUGACAUUUCUUGGACAUUUUGUGUCAUCAAAUGGGGUUCAGGACCCAGAGAAAACACAGACUGUCCAAAACCUCCCAGUGCCCACCAAUAGAAAGUCUCUUGAGCGAUUCCUGGGCAUGGCUGGAUGGUACCAUCGGUUUGUGCCGAAUUUCUCACAAAUCAUAGAGCAUCUCAAUGCCCUAAUAAGAAAGAGGGUUAGGUUCUGUUGGUCACGUGAAUGUCAAACUGCCUUCGACACUCUUAAAGAGCAUUUGAUGAAUCCUCCUAUGUUAGGACAUCCCAACUUCAAUCUCCCAUUCCUAGUUUACACAGAUGUCAGUGAGGGAGACCUUAGUGCUGUACUGGUUCAAUGAACAGAAAUAGGGAAGGAAGAAAUUCUGGCUUAUAGGAGCAGUAGUCUCAACCCAGCUGAAAAAAAUUACUCUGCUAUGGAACUUGAAUGUCUGGCAGUGGAGAGUUUACCUGGAAGGACGCCUUUUUAUAGUGGUAACAGACCACUCUUCACUCCUGUGGGUGUUCAAAACCACCAAACCCAGUACAUGACUGAUCAAGUGGACUCUCAGGCUCCAGGAGUUCACCUUCACUGUAGAGUACAGAAAGGGAAGAUACAACACCAUUCCAGAUGCCCUGUCUAGAGCUCCAAGUGAUUGUAAUGAGUCUACUCACAGUCUGCCAUGCUUGGAGUCCUCAAAGGACCUACCCAUCUCCAUUGAAACAGUGAGGAAUGCCCAGCAUAAGGACCCUGAAUGUCAAACACUGUGCCAAAAUAUUGUGGAGAAGGGUUAACACCAAUACCAUUUUUACCAUCCAUUAUAAAACUGUGUACUAGAUAUACAUCUAGUCAGGGGGUCCCAAUUUGUCUCCUCCGUCUUCCAAGUAACCUGCAAAUCAUGGAAUGUGUCAUACAAACUAAUAUCUGCCAACCACCCUUAGACAAAUCUAACAGAACGAAUUACCAGGACCUUGAUAGCCUCCUAAGUUGGUUUCAGGCAUAAACACUGGGAUAAAAACCUUGCUGAGCUCAGGUUUGCCUUGAACUCUGCUGUACAGGAGUCCACAGGAGUUACCCCAGCUGAACUCAACCCUCACUGGCCAUUUAGGAGACCACAGGAUGUAUUGCUGCAGCCCCGAGAUGCUGUGCCUGAUUCUCCGGCUUAUCCAAAAAUCUCACAGCUCAAUGACCUUAAGGCUUUUGUCUCAAGGAACCUUUCUCUAGUCCAUAAGCGACAGAAAAGGAACUAUGAUAAGCAUCGCAGACAGAUGAAUUUGGAAACGUAGCCCCUUUUCUAAGGCCGAGAAGUCAUUUACCGCAAAACUUACACCAAAAUGGCAAGGAUCCUACCGUGAUAUUCAGCAGGUUGGGCCUCUAAACUAUGAGGUGGUUCUGGAGGAUAGUGGAGAAGACAGACAGAUUGUGCACAUCUCACGCCUCAAACUUUACAACCCAACAGCACAUCAAGUGGAGGAACAACAACACCAAACAGCGGUUGAAGGAGAUAUUUGAGGAAAAGACUGAAGAUGAGGAGUUCUUUGGAUUUCCAGAUGCGAGCCCUGCUUCUCCAUACCCAGAACUGUACAGACUAAGAUCGGGAGUACUGCCCCAACAGUGGCCUGUUGUCUAUCUUCCUAAAAUGAAAUCUUAACCCAGCAUGUUGGCACGAUAUUCUCAACCAUUGCUUCUCAGUCUUUCUUCAGUCUCUGUGCGAGCUCGAUUAAAAUCUUUGAAAAGGAAACAUUCCCCUGACCUACGCUCAAUAUAAAAAACUCAAAAGGCAAAAGAAAAUGAUCAGACUGUUGGCAGAUCCAAAAAAACACCCUAAAAAGCAAACAACAGGCUCUGAGGAAACAAUCUGGAGGGUUUCUUUUUCCUCUGCUUUCAGUGGUUGUUCCUAUCUUUGGACAGCUAGGAGGACUCAUUAAAACUUGACCUAAAUUCAUGAGUCAAAAGAUGUUUUUGGUGUUGCCGCAUCAGUUAAACCGUCUGAGUCAGACAGCAACCUCUGCUCCCAAUAGCGGGGAAACGAUGAGACAUGUGGCUGAAAAUGAUUUUGAUGUAAAAAUGAGGGCUAUAUUAAACAAAAUGGGGUUGAACGCCUAUGAUAGAUUAAUACAAUACCCUGCUGCAAAGGUAACUUGCACUGAUCAAACAAGGGGAAAAGGACGAACGUCAUAUGACUCUGACUCUACAUAAGAACUCUGGCGUGCAAGAAGAAAAAGAAGAAGCAGAUAAAACAUUAGUCACGCUGGAUGAAACGGCGAAUGAGACAUGAGAUAUUACAAAACCUUCUGGCAUGCUAC